GACGGAGGAUGCAAGCGUUAUCCGGAAUGAUUGGGCGUAAAGCGUCCGCAGGUGGCAGUUCAAGUCUGCUGUCAAAGACCGGGGCUCAACCUCGGAAAGGCAGUGGAAACUGAACAGCUGGAGUAUGGUAGGGGCAAAGGGAAUUCCUGGUGUAGCGGUGAAAUGCGUAGAGAUCAGGAAGAACACCAGUGGCGAAGGCGGCCAUCUGGGACAACACUGACGCUGAGGCACGAAAGCGUGGGGAGCAAACAGG
rnacentral:rRNA from 1 species